ACAACAGAGUUGUUUUUCAACCUUUUAAUAAUAAAAGUGUUAUUAGUUUUUUUUUUUAUUACUGAUGAACAAAAUGGAAAGUAAAUUUAAAAAAAGAAAAUCCAAAAUCACAUCAAUAAUUAGUGCGACACCGUUUAGCUGUAAAACAUCAUCAGGUCUUCUUGGUUCAUUCACACACAGUUUUUGAAGGAACUCAGCAGGUAGUUUGUUGGAAUCAUCUUGAGAAACUAAGCACAGAUCUUCUGUGGAUGGAGGCUCCUCAAAUCUCUUCAUAUAAUCCCAGACUGACUCGAUGAUGUUGAGAUCACGACUCUCUGGAUCCAAAACUGUCACGUCCAGGACUCCUUGUUCUUCUCUACACUGAAGAAAUCCAUGAUGUUGUGCAGGAGAUACAGCUGGUGAAAUAAAGGAGAUUAAUUCAGAGAAGAAGCCUGACACACUGGAGAUCUCACCAUCUUCUAAGGCCAGUGCUGAUCUGGAGUGAGAUCCAUGUGCUGCUCGAGGAAGUGGGCAGGAAAGUGUGUCUCAAUCAUACACUUUCUUCUACGGUCUGAGAAGAUUCUGUUUUUAUGGCCUGGAUGUUCUGCCUCUUUUUAUUUAGACUUUUUUUUCAUCAAUGUGUUUUUUCACUGUAGGGCACAUCAGAAGUAUUUGGACUUUGAAUAUAUGUUGUAUAUAUGUAUAUGUGUGUGUGUGUGUGUGUGUGUGUGUGUGUGUGUGUGUGUGUGUGUGUGUGACAAAUAAAAAAUGUAUUUGAUAAUUUUGCUAUCGAGUCCCUGAAGACACACAAGCUUUAAAAAUGAAAGCCCUGAAAGGUAAAUGUUCUAAUCACCGUCGUAUCAGGAAGUAAUUCUGUAUGAAGAUAUGUGUCACUACAGAAGUAUAUAAAUAUAUAUAUAUAUAUAUUCAUAAAAGCAUGAUAUUUUCUAUGUUUAUAUUUACAUGUAUGCAUUUGGCAGAUGAUUUUAUUAUUAUUUAUUUAUUUUUCAGACAACGUCCAAAAGAAAUCCAGUGUUUCCACAUGUGAGAUGUCAUUAGAAACAAACUGCACAAUGAGGACAAAGUCUUUAAAAACCCAAACUUCUCUGAAUAAUGAAGAAAGUAAAUAAAUGAAUGAUUUGUAAAAGUGAAAA